AUUGAACGCUGGCGGCAGGCCUAACACAUGCAAGUCGAGCGCGCGGCGGACGGGUGAGUAAUGUAUGGGGACUGCCCGAUAGAGGGGGAUAACUACUGGCAACGGAGGCUAAUACCGCAUACUGUCGGAUACCCCAUAUGGUAUUAGCUAGUAGGUAAGGUAAUGGCUUACCUCGGGGACGAUCCCUAGCUGGUCUGAGAGGAUGAUCAGCCACAUUGGGACUGAGAUACGGCCCAGACUCCUACGGAGGAAGCAGUGGGGCAUAGUGCGCAAUAGGCGAAAGCCAGAUGCGGAGACGUGACGUGGGGAAUGAGGGCUUUGGGGUUAUAAAGCAGGAUCGCUAACGAACGGGUAGGUGGAGAAGAAGCACCGGCUAACUACGUGCCAGCCGCCGCGGUAAUAC
rnacentral:rRNA from 1 species